rnacentral:rRNA from 1 species
UACGGAGGGGGCUAGCGUUGUUCGGAAUUACUGGGCGUAAAGCGCACGUAGGCGGCUUUGUAAGUUAGAGGUGAAAGCCCAGGGCUUAACCCUGGAAUUGCCUUUAAGACUGCAUCGCUAGAAUCGUGGAGAGGUAAGUGGAAUUCCGAGUGUAGAGGUGAAAUUCGUAGAUAUUCGGAAGAACACCAGUGGCGAAGGCGACUACUGGACACGUAUUGACGCUGAGGUGCGAAAGCGUGGGGAGCAAACAGGG